GACGAACGCUGGCGGUGCGCCUAACACAUGCAAGUCGAACGGUGAACCGGGCUUCGGCCCGGGGAUCAGUGGCGAACGGGUGCGUAACACGUGGGCAACCUGCCCCCGACCCUGGGAUAACCCCGGGAAACCGGAGCUAAUACCGGAUACUCUCCUCCGAUCUCAUGACCGGAGGAGGAAAGGUCCGCCGGUCGGGGAUGGGCCCGCGGCCUAUCAGCUUGUUGGUGGGGUAACGGCCCACCAAGGCAUCGACGGGUAGCUGGUCUGAGAGGACGACCAGCCACACUGGGACUGAGACACGGCCCAGACUCCUACGGGAGGCAGCAGUGGGGAAUCUUGCGCAAUGGGCGGAAGCCUGACGCAGCGACACCGCGUGGGGGACGAAGGCCUUUCAGGUCGUAAACCCCUUUCGGCAGGGACGAAGCGAUCUCGUGACGGUACCUGCAGAAGAAGCCUCGGCUAACUACGUGCCAGCAGCCGCGGUAACACGUAGGAGGCGAGCGUUGUCCGGAAUCAUUGGGCGUAAAGAGCGCGCAGGCGGCUUGGCAAGUCGGGUGUGAAAUCCCGGGGCUCAACCCCGUGACUGCAUUCGAUACUGUCAGGCUAGAGGUAGGUAGGGGAGAUCGGAAUUCCUGGUGUAGCGGUGAAAUGCGCAGAUAUCAGGAGGAACA
rnacentral:rRNA from 1 species